CUUAAAUAAGUAUGUGAAUAUUUCAGCAUGAUCUAGAAUAUGAUAUUUUAGUCAUAAAUUUACGAAUUUGAUAUUGUUGUUAGAAAGUUACUUAGUAGACUUUGUCUGUUUUCAGUUGGUGAACACAGGAAAGGAAAGGGCAAAAGUCAGCCUUCUUUUUACAUGGGCGGAAGGCAAUGUUGCCAACCAGAGGGAACAUCUAAUUCUUCUCCUUGCCAAUAUUAACAUUCAGAAAGCUAAUAAGCAGUCUGUCUUGAAGGUAUUCUGAUUGUUAAUUAAGGUUGUAAAGCUUUGCCUUGUGGUGUUUAUUCCAUAUUGGCUGCUUCCUAAUUAUUUUUAGUUUUCUGGUUUUGCCUUGUGGUGUUUAUUCCAUAUGCCUUGUGACGUGAUUGGUUUGAAUAGAUGCUUUGAAAUAUACACAAGUUAGCUAAUCUCUACCUCUAUUUUGGGCAGUGAAUGCUUUUUCUUAUGAGACUAAAUUUUUUUUGUUGUAUUUUAAGUUGUGGAUAACAAUUGGUUUAUAUUUUUUAAGAUAACAAUUGGUUUUUGUGCUGUGGAUCAUUAGAUCUGUUUUAUUAACAUAAGGAUGUAAUAUUUGCUUCUACAUUUACUAUCAUUCUAGUCAUAGAAAUUUAGUAUAGUUUAGUUACAAGUAAUUUAGUUGCUGUUGUUGACAAUUUGUGGUAUCUAAAAGAUGGAAUACAUACUGUAGUCUUGAAAAAACUUUCAGAAAAUGGUAAGAGCUAUGUGGGUUUUACAGUUUUAUUUUUGUAUGAUACUUUAAGCACUGAUCUGUAGACUUAUCUCAGUUUUUGGUGGAUCCUACUCCAUUUUCUAGGAUCUUGCAGGCAAAGGACACCAAGUGAAUUAGAUAUAGAGGUUAAGAACUUGAGGGUGGCAUUUACUGACCUGUUUUUGAAGCAUAACACUUUCAAAGAAACUGCAAAGCCAUCGAGAUAUUGAUGCAAAGAAUGGAAGAAUGUAUUUCACUAAUUUUUGUAUACAUUUCUUGUUUUGUAUUUAGUGAUAAAGGAAUCUGAAUUGGGCAUAAAUUAUGUUGUAAUAUGAUUUCUUAAGCCUAGACUAGUAGACUAAAUAUUGUAAUUACAUUUGAGUAAUUAAUAAAAAUUUAUUUAUGUUA